ensembl:lncRNA
UUUAAAUCAGAUUUAAAUAGUGAUAAAGUGAUCAAAGAAGCACACAAGCACAUAAAGAGCAAUACUGAGAUUAAAAAUCCCAUACUUCAAAGUUCUGUAAAGUGUAGUUGACUGCGAAACAUGCUCACCAGUUUCUUUAGCCUUUUCUGCUGCAGAGAUCUGUGGAUGAUCCCACAGAGGUGAUAACACUAUAAGGUUUCAAUGACAGAUGAAACAUGAAAUUUAGUUACAGAUGUCAGUGUUCAUUUGAUGUGUGUGAUGUAUGCUAAUGUCUGAUGGCUGGGAGGUCAACAGCUUGACACUUAACUAGACACACAAAACAUUUACAUUUAAAUCUCCAAAAAUACUUAAGACUGAGUCACUGGAAUUUGUGGAUAAACAUCACUUUACACAUCAGAUAAGUAAAUGAGUAGCCUAAGUCACACAGUAGUAAAUGUUCAUUUCAACAGUUAACCUAAUGAUAGUUGAAGCCCCUUUUUGGCAAAAAAUGUCUUCAUAUUAGGACUAAUUUAGAUUCCCAUGCAUAGAGGUAUUACUGUUGGCACAAUUUUUGUAAUAAUACAUUGAAAGCCUACAAAUGUACAUUGAGCCUUGGAAUGAAUGAAUGAAUCCUACCUUUUUCAGCCUUCUCGACUCUUGAUUUCUUUGGUAUAUCUUGUGGAGACUGCUGCACAGACGGGUCUUCUGGUUCCUCGUGUUUUAUUCUCCGGUUUUCUGGUUCCUCGUGUUUUGUUCUGCAGGUUUCUGGUUCAAGUUUUAUUCUGGAGGUUUCUGGUUCACUCGUGCUCUCCUCACUCUCUUCUUUAACAAACAUCAUCUUCACAGCAGCAGAUCUCUGUUCAGCUGACACUCCUCCAGAUAUUCCUGCUUAAUUCAACAUUUAGACACGACUGUGAGGAUAAGAAUAUAACAGGUAUUUACUGACCUGAUUCAAAAACGUUUUUCUAUUUACAGAGACAAUUCUAACCGCUUCGCAUCCCGACAAAACAACAGAGAGCGCGGUGAAACCACUGAUCUAUAUUAUAUCAUAGAUCAGUGGGAGAAACUAAACUUCUUCCUCUGAGGUUUAAUGGUGUUUGGCAAACAAACAUGUGUGUUUUAACGCCGCCCGCUGGACUGGAGUGUGAAGCGGCAAUAGGAGGAAAAUAAUACUGGGAAAAUUAAUUACAGUUUUUCUCGAUUGCUUAAACACAUUUCUUGAAACUAUGCCUCAUAUUCUCAAAAGAGUAAACACAAAUCCAUAACGUCUCACCCAAUUACCCAAACAACCUAUUUUCAGGUCAAAAUGAAGCUCUACACUCAAAACCAUUCACUCUAAAAAACCAAACUUUGCCCUCAGACAUCACACACAAACCCUCAAAAACACACACACUGUAUGAACAUAAACUUGACCAAAAACACCUUUUGUGUUCAGAAAAAAAGAAAAAGAAAUGUUUAAAUGGACCAACCCUUUAAAGCCCCAAAUAGAAACUGUAUGAAUAUAUGCAUGCAUUGAUAUUAUAGUAGUACCUUGAAGAAAUAAACUUUAAGAAAUAAGCA